UGCUGGGUGGAUCAGUGGCGAACGGGUGAGUAACACGUGAGCAACCUGCCCCUGACUCUGGGAUAAGCGCUGGAAACGGCGUCUAAUACUGGAUACGAACCACGAAGGCAUCUUCAGUGGUUGGAAAGAUUUAUUGGUUGGGGAUGGGCUCGCGGCCUAUCAGCUUGUUGGUGAGGUAAUGGCUCACCAAGGCGUCGACGGGUAGCCGGCCUGAGAGGGUGACCGGCCACACUGGGACUGAGACACGGCCCAGACUCCUACGGGAGGCAGCAGUGGGGAAUAUUGCACAAUGGGCGCAAGCCUGAUGCAGCAACGCCGCGUGAGGGAUGACGGCCUUCGGGUUGUAAACCUCUUUUAGCAGGGAAGAAGCGAAAGUGACGGUACCUGCAGAAAAAGCGCCGGCUAACUACGUGCCAGCAGCCGCGGUAAUACGUAGGGCGCAAGCGUUAUCCGGAAUUAUUGGGCGUAAAGAGCUCGUAGGCGGUUUGUCGCGUCUGCUGUGAAAUCCGGAGGCUCAACCUCCGGCCUGCAGUGGGUACGGGCAGACUAGAGUGCGGUAGGGGAGAUUGGAAUUCCUGGUGUAGCGGUGGAAUGCGCAGAUUCAGGAGGAACACCGAUGGCGAAGGCAGAUCUCUGGGCCGGUAACUGACG
rnacentral:rRNA from 1 species